CCUACGGGAGGCAGCAGUGGGGAAUAUUGCGCAAUGGGCGAAAGCCUGACGCAGCCAUGCCGCGUGUGUGAAGAAGGCCUUAGGGUUGUAAAGCACUUUCAAUUGGGAAGAAAGGUUGCGUGUUAAUAGCACGUAGCUGUGACGUUACCUUUAGAAGAAGCACCGGCUAACUCCGUGCCAGCAGCCGCGGUAAU
rnacentral:rRNA from 1 species